AUGAUCAGAGGAGAUGUAGUCGCAUCACUGAGCGAGAUCAUGAAUGAGAUGGGUCGAUUGAACGCCAAUUUGAAGCAGAUACGUGAAGCAAGUUUGAAGCAGAGACGUGAAAUUGUUCGCGGCAGCCGGAUGUUUGGUGGGAUCGGAGAAGAAGAUAGUUACAGUGGAAGUUGCGGCGCAAGUGUGAGAGUAGAGAUGAGCGUAGGAUAA